rnacentral:rRNA from 1 species
AUUGAACGCUGGCGGCAGGACUAACACAUGCAAGUCGAGCGGAGCGGCGGACGGGUGAGUAAUGCCUAGGAAUCUGCCUGGUCGUGGGUGAUACAGUCAGGAAACGGUCGCUAAUACCGCAUAAUCUCAUAUCAGCCUAGGUCGGAUGAGCUAGUUGGUGGGGUACAGGCCUACCAAGUCGACGAUCCUUAACUGGUCUGAGAGGAUGAUCAGUCACACUGGAAUGGAGACACGGUCCAGAGUCCUACGGGAGGCAGCAGUGGGGAAUAUUGGACAAUGGGCGAAAGCCUGAUGCAGCCAUGCCGCGUGUAUGAAGAAGGCCUUCGGGUUGUAAAGUACUUUCAGCGGGGAGGCGUUACCCGCAGAAGAAGCACCGGCUAACUUCGUGCCAGCAGCCGCGGUAAUAC